rnacentral:rRNA from 1 species
CAGCCGCGGUAAUACGAAGGGUGCAAGCGUUACUCGGAAUUACUGGGCGUAAAGCGUGCGUAGGUGGUUCGUUAAGUCUGAUGUGAAAGCCCCGGGCUCAACCCGGGAACUGCAUCCGAAACCAUCUCGCUAGAGUAUGGGAGAGGGAAGCGGAAUUCCUGGUGUAGAGGUGAAAUUCGUAGAUAUCAGGAGGAACACCUGCGGCGAAGGCGGCUUCCUGGCCCAUUACUGACGUUCAGGUACGAAAGCGUGGGUAGCAAAC